GCCCCUGUAGCUCAGCCUGGAUAGAGCGACUGCCUUCUAAGCAGUAGGUCGCAGGUUCGAAUCCUGUCGGGGGCA
rnacentral:tRNA from 1 species